rnacentral:misc_RNA from 1 species
GUGAAUCAUCAAAUCUUUGAACGCAUAUUGCACCCACUGGUAUUCCGGAGAGUAUGCCUAUUUGAGGGUCAUUUUAAAUAAUAUAAAUUUCGAGAUUUUCUUUAAAUCAAAAAUGGGUCGGUCCAGCUUUCGUGUGGUGGUCGCCUAAAAUGCAAGACAAGCUCAUUUCUUGGGUUGCGUGAUACUUUCAGUUACCUCGUUACUUCACUAGAAAUCUUCGAGCGUGCUAAGAUUUGUGACAGAAAUAAACUACAUUUAUCUCUAGC